rnacentral:rRNA from 1 species
GACGAACGCUGGCGGCGUGCUUAACACAUGCAAGUCGAACGGAAAGGCCCUGCUUUUGUGGGGUGCUCGAGUGGCGAACGGGUGAGUAACACGUGAGUAACCUGCCCUUGACUGUGGGAUAACUUCAGGAAACUGGGGCGAAUACCGGAUAGGAGCUCCUGCUGCAUGUUGGGGGUUGGAAAGUGUCGGCGGUUGGGGAUGGACUCGCGGGUUAUCAGCUUGUUGGGGGGGUAGUGGCUUACCAAGGUUUUGACGGGUAGCCGGCCUGGGAGGGUGACCAGCCACAUUGGGACUAAGAUACGGCCCAGACUCCUACGGGAGGCAGCAGUGGGGAAUAUUGCACAAUGGGCGGAAGCCUGAUGCAGCAACGCCGCGUGCGGGAUGACGGCCUUCGGGUUGUAAACCGCUUUCGCCUGUGACGAAGCGUGAGUGACGGUAAUGGGUAAAGAAGCACCGGCUAACUACGUG